rnacentral:rRNA from 1 species
GUGGGGAAUAUUGGACAAUGGGCGAAAGCCUGAUCCAGCCAUGCUGCGUGUGUGAAGAAGGUCUUCGGAUUGUAAAGCACUUUAAGUUGGGAGGAAGGGCAGUAAGUUAAUACCUUGCUGUUUUGACGUUACCGACAGAAUAAGCACCGGCUAACUUCGUGCCAGCAGCCGCGGUAAUACGAAGGGUGCAAGCGUUAAUCGGAAUUACUGGGCGUAAAGCGCGCGUAGGUGGUUUUGUAAGUUGGAGGUGAAAUCCCCGGGCUCAACCUGGGAACUGCCUCCAAAACUGCAUGACUAGAGUACGGUAGAGGGUAGUGGAAUUUCCUGUGUAGCGGUGAAAUGCGUAGAUAUAGGAAGGAACACCAGUGGCGAAGGCGACUACCUGGACUGAUACUGACACUGAGGUGCGAAAGCGUGGGGAGCAAACAGGAUUAGAUACCCCGGUAGUCC